ACUGGGUAUGGUGGCAUAUGCCUGUAGUCCCAGCUACUUGAGGGACUGAGGCAGAAAGAUUGCUUGAACCCAUGAGUUCCUGAGUUGUAGUGUACUAUGCUCGUGAAUGUCUGCAUUAAGUUUAGCAUCAGUAUGGUGACCUCCCAGGAGUGGGGGAACUACCAGGUUGCCUAAAGAAUGAUGAACUGGACAGGUCAUAAACAAAGCAGGUCAAAACUGAUUUGACCAUGCUAUAUAUAUCAGCAAAGGCUGCUCAGUAGUGGGAUCAUGCCUACAAAUAGCCACUGCCCUCCAGUCUGGGCAACAUAGCACGACUCCAUCUCU
rnacentral:SRP_RNA from 1 species